UUGAAAAUUUGAGACUUUUCCUUUGAUUUCAUAGAAUAUUCCAAUCUUUUAAUCCUUCCAUUAUACUCCAUUCUAUCCAAUCCUUCUUAUCCUCAUGUCCUUUCUUACUCAAUACGAACACAAAGUUUUUUUCAGAAGGAAGUAACAUAUGACAUAUACUUUGAAAUGGUGGAACAGGAAGAAGCUAAGAGAAUUGUUCUUUGUCUUCACAGAAUACUCCAUGCCUUAACACUCUGAUUAUAUUCCAUUCUCUCUAUUCCCUAUUGGCCUCACUCCCUUUCUUAUACAGCCCCGACUUUAUCCUUAUUUCAAAUAUUAUCUUGAUGGUACCUAUAACCCUCCUGCCUCUCUGCACUUAGUCUUACCUGGAAAACACCCAAACAUGAACUUGAUUUCUACUGUCACUCCAUCCAAGCAGAUGAAUCCUAAAAUAUGAAGCUGAUUUAUUUCAAAACAAAAGAAGUAACAUUAAAUUAAAGACUUCUUAUAAGUACCCCCGGAGGAAAGGGACUGAGGCACAGUGUCCAGAGCAAGAUCAAAUCUACAGCCAUUAGUUUCCAUCCUGGAAACAAGGAAAAGAGAAAUAACUAAGAUAUAUAUUGUAUAUUUUCUGAAACAACCACUAUAUACAAUUAAUCUUCAUAAGAUCACUCAAAAUGAAGCUUCUAUUAUGGUCCCUGCAUCUUGUGUGUUGCUUUUACAAAGAAAUCUACAAUGAAAUUCCUGGUCUUGAUUAGUAUUUUGAGUGUGCUCAUGCAAAGAACAUGGGGAAAUGUUCAAGGCAACUAUGAUUCCCUCAGCGAAGAGAUUUUAAGUGAUAUUGACUUUAAUGUUGAUCAGUUUGAACGCCAGCCUCUAGAAGAAAAUCUGCCUUAUUCUCUGGAAGAUGAUGGAUUUCAAAAUGUUGUACCCAUUUAAAGAACACAAGAUAUGGGUCUUUGAAACAUCUCCUUCCUGAACAUCGAUGUAUAUACUUCAUCUAACAAAUCAAAUUCUUACUCUAUGUUCUAUACACAUGAGUUUGGUUCUACUGUGAUAGCAUCUGUGGAUUAUAUCAUGUCUACCAAAGGAAAUGGAUAACAACAGCUCUGGAAUUUGAAUUUCUUUACUUUCACUAAUAAAUCUCUCUUG